rnacentral:lncRNA from 1 species
CACCCCUAAAAAAACGUUCCGUCGCAUAAACUGUAUUUUCACUGUAGUUGUUCACGGAUCGUUGUCAAUAUCAUUAAAUUUGGUGCGAUUGUCUAUAAAACCAGGUUCAAUCCACCAUUUUCUUCAUUAUAAAUGCCUGUACCAAGUCAGGAAUAUGACAGUUGUUGUUCAUUCGUUUGAUGUGAUUUAUUUUUUGAUUUUGCCAUUUGAUAAAGGACUUUCCGUUUUGAAUUUUCCUCGGUGUUUUUUUUUUUAUUUUACUCUUUGUGUCUGUGUCUGUAUCAGGCUAUCGAGACCAUUCUGGUGAAUAAAUACAGAAUUAUCUACCUUCACCUUUCAACAAGAUGUAGGGUUAACCACUGUCGAUUCGUUUGGGAAGCAAAAUGAAAUCGAAACAUAAUGUUAAGACUUGCAAUCAGAAAGUCUAUCUCGAGCUUGACAAUAGUCCCCAAUGUCAUUUUAUAGUGAUAG